GGUCAAGCUAUUAAGGGCACAUGGGGGAUGUCUUGGCGUUAGAAGCAUGAGCGUGGAAGUCUGCGAAAAGCUUGGGUGAGUUGACAAACGAGCGUUGAUCCCAAGAUUCUCAAUCAAACCCAGGGAACUGAAACAUCUAAGUACCUGGAGGAGUAGAAAGAAAAAUCGAUUCCGUCAGUAGCGGCGAGCGAAAGCGGAUUAGCCCAAACCGCGAAGGUUUCCUUUGCGGGGUUGUAGGGCUACUCAUAUGGGAGUUACAAAACUUCACUUAGCCGAAUGGUAUGGAAAGGCCAGCCACAGAGGGUGACAGUCCUGUAGGCGACAAGUGCAAGUCUCUCGAGUAGUACCUGAGUAGGUCGGGUCACGUGAAACCCUGACUGAAUCUACGGGGACCAUCCCGUAAGGCUAAAUACUCUCUAACGACCGAUAGUGAACCCAGUAGGGCGACCGAAAGAUGGAAAGAACCCCGAUAAGGGGAGG
rnacentral:rRNA from 1 species